rnacentral:rRNA from 1 species
UGGGCGUAAGCGCGCGCUAUGCGGUUUUUUUAAGAUCUGAUGUGAAAGCCCACGGCUCAACCGGUGGGAGGGUCAUUGGAAACUGGAAAACUUGAGUGCAGAAGAGGAAAGUGGAAUUCCAUGUGUAGCGGUGAAAUGCGCAGAGAUAUGGAGGAACACCAGUGGCGAAGGCGACUUUCUGGUCUGUAACUGACUCUGAUGUGCGAAAGCGUGGGGAUCAAACAGGAUUAUAUACCCUGGUACUCCACCCCGUAAACCAUGAGUGCUAAGUGUUAGGGGGUUUCCCCCCCUUAGUGCUGCAGCUAACGCAUUAAGCACUCCCCCUGGGGAGUACGACCGCAGGGUUGAAACUCAAAUGAAUUGACGGAAUCACUAGUGAAGCUCACAAC